rnacentral:rRNA from 1 species
UGCUAUGGGGGUCCGACUAAGCCAUGCGAGUCAUGGGGCGCCUUGCGCGCACCGGCGGACGGCUCAGUAACACGUCGGUAACCUACCCUCGGGAGGGGGAUAACCCCGGGAAACUGGGGCUAAUCCCCCAUAGGCCUGAGGUACUGGAAGGUCCUCAGGCCGAAAGGGGCUUCGGCCCGCCCGAGGAUGGGCCGGCGGCCGAUUAGGUAGUUGGUGGGGUAACGGCCCACCAAGCCGAAGAUCGGUACGGGCCAUGAGAGUGGGAGCCCGGAGAUGGACACUGAGACACGGGUCCAGGCCCUACGGGGCGCAGCAGGCGCGAAACCUCCGCAAUGCGGGAAACCGCGACGGGGGGACCCCCAGUGCCGUGGCAUCGCCACGGCUUUUCCGGAGUGUAAAGAGCUCCGGGAAUAAGGGCUGGGCAAGGCCGGUGGCAGCCGCCGCGGUAAUACCGGCGGCCCGAGUGGUGGCCGCUAUUAUUGGGCCUAAAGCGUCCGUAGCCGGGCCCGUAAGUCCCUGGCGAAAUCCCACGGCUCAACCGUGGGGCUUGCUGGGGAUACUGCGGGCCUUGGGACCGGGAGAGGCCGGGGGUACCCCUGGGGUAGGGGUGAAAUCCUAUAAUCCCAGGGGGACCGCCAGUGGCGAAGGCGCCCGGCUGGAACGGGUCCGACGGUGAGGGACGAAGGCCAGGGGAGCGAACCGGAUUAGAUACCCGGGUAGUCCUGGCUGUAAAGGAUGCGGGCUAGGUGUCGGGCGAGCUUCGAGCUCGCCCGGUGCCGAAGGGAAGCCGUUAAGCCCGCCGCCUGGGGAGUACGGCCGCAAGGCUGAAACUUAAAGGAAUUGGCGGGGGAGCACUACAAGGGGUG